GGCCUUUUUUGGGAAUGCCUUUUCUUGGUCGUCGUAGAGAGGAACAGUUUUUUGUUCUUUGUUCGACAUAUGCGAACAAGUGGUAUGGUUUCAAGUAUUCUCAAACAUUCAACAGAUUCGUUCUUGUGUGUUCUGCGCAUCUUAUCCGAUUAAUCAUUGGUAGUACCACCAAAUAGGUUAAUCUGAAAGUGAACACACGAUUUGUGUAGAAAUCCAGGUUUUUUCUUUAUCUCACUUUUCUUGCAAUUGUUUCGAAAUUAGUUAGUAAUCACUCAAAAAUACAACAAAGAUUAACCUAUUUUCAUUGUUUGUUAUACUACUAAAUCCAAUUUCGAGACAACGUGUUCGAUUUUGUUGUUGGGUUUCGGUUUGCAAUUCGUGUUUUGCCACCGUGGUGUUACUUUUAUUGGGUUCUUGAAUUAUAUUAUCUUCAUCGGAUUUGUGAUUAUUAAAAUGCUUCAUGUGUGUGUGCUUGAAUUGAUAUUUGAGGUUUUCAUCAUCAAAAACUAGAAACACAUGACUCAUAGAGUUUGUUGAAGGCACAUAUAAAUCAUCAUGUAGAUUUUUCUUAAAAGUUGAUUGUGGGACCAUGGAAUGGGUAUCCAAACAUCUGACCUUUAGGGUUAUUUUAUGUUUAUUAAUGUUAAUUUUGGAUAACUUAACAUGUGUUGGAUAAUUUAGGCUGCUAAUUGAUAAAUGAUUCAUUAGUUACCAAUUCAGUACGAAUUGUUUGUCUUGAAUUGCAAUUAACAAUUAAAUUUGGCUUCUUAUGGAUUUAUAAGUAAAACAAGAAACGUACGCAUCGCUGAAUCAUACGGGUAGUCGGUUAAUUUUGGUUUGAAAAGAAUAAACUAUCUCGGUGUUCAUGGUUGAAUCAGACGGGUAGUCGGUUGCGUGCUUUGUUGGGUUAAGUGAUGACCAGGUCUUCGAUUUUGUUUGAAAUCUCCAGCCUCUCGAUUGGGGCUGUUGUCAGUUAAUUUUGGUUCGAAAAUAACCGGGUAGGAAAAAAGAAGAAGAGACUGUCGUCACGGUUUUUCUUUUGCUCGUAGGACGCAUUGAUUGCCACCCGGCGGUCGACGGCGGACGUCGUAACCGGCUUUAACACCCCGACAAUUAAUGAGACAACAAGCAUCGGCUUUCUCGCAUGAUAGAGCAUAUCCACAUAGGCUUGUGUAUAUGUUUUUCUUUGUUUGCUAGAUGAAUGAUUGCAUGGGAUGAAUGUGAGUUUAGUGACUUAGUCAUCAAUCUCAAAAAGACUAAACACAAAUCUAAGUGAUGAUUGUUCAAUUAAUUUUCAUUAGUAUACUUGUUGCAUAUAUGUGUAUACAUAUAGAUACAUGUACGGGUGUUUUUUUUUUUUGCUUGUUGAAUUGAAUGGGACAUGGUAUGUAAAUAAAUAAAAGGUUUUCUAAACACUAUACACACAAGUGUAUGGAUCAUAUUUUAAACAAAAUACAAGGGUUUUGUUGUCUGUUUGUCAACUGAAGUGAAACCAACACUUGUGUCGUGAAUUCGUCGACCAUAACAAAACCCGUGGAGUGUUUUAAUUUGCACAAGGAAUAUCAAAGAAGGCCUACAUGCGGUCUUUCAAUCAUCGAGCGUUGAAGGGGCUAUUUCUUGAUACGAACCGAAGGAACAAUGGUUUUCUUGCUUGUGAUCAUCUCAAUUUACAGAUUUCUUGCAUGUGCAGAUUCUAAAGGCAAGGAGAACAUAGUCGAUGACAAGCUUCGGAAUGAAGACACGACGUGAAGGCACUCAAAGGAUGAAGAUGAUCGAGUUUCCGCUGACCAUCAUCAACACCACAAGGAUCUCACUUCAUAAAGAUCAAGUUUUUCACGAGCAUAACUCAAGGGGGAGCUUAUGUUAAGGGGGAGUUUGUCAACACACUCUCUGCUUUCAAUACGUGAAGACUUUGAAGAUCCUCCGACUUUGAAGACUUGAAAGGACAUCAGAGUUUUGAGAACUCGAAGACCAAAGACCAUCGAAGUUCGAGACGAGUCUACAACUAUAGAAGAUAAAGACAAAGCUACAGCCAAGGGGGAGUUUGUUGGUGCACUUGUGUCUGUACUUUGUCUGUAUCCGGUCACGAUGUCUGUAUUCGGUCACGAUGUAAACGAUGUCCUUGUUAUUGUUGUAAGUUGACCAAGUCAACCAUCCUCCAGUUUGACUUGGACAACAGUUUGUAAAAUGUUGUAAGAUGUUCUGUGUCGAAGGAUAGCUAAUCGAAGGAUAUUGUAGAUCCUUCGAUGACAUCGAAAGAUAGGCUACGAAGGAUACUGUUAGACUUCGAAGGAUAUGCAAUCCUUCGAAGUAUUUGUGGAUCCUUCGACAGCUUUGUCAUCGAUAGAUGAUCCUUCGAUCAUCUAUCGGAUCCUUCGGACCAGACAUCAGAUGCUGGGUAUAUAUAUACCCAUGCAGUGUGUUCAACUAAAAAAAGUAGAUGCACACAGAAAGAGAGAGAGUAUUCUUGAGAGCAUUCUGUCCGAAACACACACACACACUUUGAGAGUUUGCAAGUUAGAUUUGUAAACAUUGUGCUUGUAACCGAAACCUUCAUACGUAUUAAUACAUUGGUGUUAAUCG
rnacentral:lncRNA from 1 species